UACAUUUUACCUAAACCUAGUUUCACAAACAAAUUUUUUAUUCGGAGGUUUGGUGUUGUGCUCCAAAAAGAAACUAUAUGUGUUUUUGAAAAAAAAAGGCUUGUAAAACCUAGUGUUGGUAGAUUGAGAGCUUUCAUUGAGUAUGUCUUAAGCAAUUAUGUGCAUCUGUUGUGGCUGGGUUAUCUAUUUUUCUAUUUUGAUCUAAGUUAUCUAUUUUAGGGGCGGCUUAAUUCUAAUUAAAUUCACUUAUUACUACUACAAAAAAGUGCAUAGAUAGCGCUUUUUUUUAUCAUAGAUAGCGCUUUUUAAGCGCUAUCUAUGUCUGCGCUAUCUAUUAAUAGAUA
rnacentral:lncRNA from 1 species